GUACCGAGUUGCAGCGCUCCCUGCUCGUCCGGAGAAGACCCAUCAGAGUUGCAUCGCUCGCUCGCUCGCUCGCUCCUGCCGCAAACACCAGCGCCGCUCUUUGUCCACCCAGCCUUGGAUUGCCGCCUUGGAUUGAUUUGUUGGAACGCAAACCUCACUGUGAGGGGCCGCAAAAGAUAGCAGCGCGAUUGGUUUGGUGAGGAGCGGGUCGUGUGAGAAAGCGUGGACUUGAGAAGGUUCGUUGUGGUUCUCUCACAAGGCGCUUCCAAGGAGAGUUUUUCAAAGAACGCGGAAAGGAGCGAAAAGACGACCGAAUCGUGGCCGUCGGUGAUGCCCCGUGACGUCACGCGCGUUUUUGUGAUUCGCUCGGCGCUUGUGAGGUGGAAUGCGUCGCCCUCUUGCUGCAUUGUCGACGUUCUUUUCCAUUUUUCCAUCUGUUUUUCUAGGUGGCCAACCCGGCCCAGUCGCAAAGGAAUGAUACAAGAAAAACAUGGCCACUAAA